rnacentral:rRNA from 2 species
GUCCAUAAUGACUCUCGGCAACGGAUAUCUCGGCUCUUGCAUCGAUGAAGAACGUAGCGAAAUGCGAUACUUGGUGUGAAUUGCAGAAUCCCGUGAACCAUCGAGUCUUUGAACGCAAGUUGCGCCCGAAGCCAUUAGGCUAAGGGCACGCCUGCCUGGGUGUCACCAA